UAGCUCAGUUGUAGAGUGCUUGCCUUGUAUGCAUAAGGCCCUGGGUUCAAUCCCCAG
rnacentral:tRNA from 1 species